rnacentral:lncRNA from 1 species
UUUUUUUUUUUUAAUACCCAAGACAUUUAAAAAUUUCAAAGGUAUUAAAACGAUUGUGAAAAAUUAUCUUUUGUCAGGAGAAAUGAAAAUACAUCUGUAAAUUUGCCACCUAGUCUUUGUUAGUUACUACUAACAUUAAAAUUAUCUUUAUUUAGAGUUUAUAUAAAACUUAAAAAUCAUUUGAAGAAGCUAUUACAAAUGAAAUUGGAAGAUGUUUUCUAUAUUUAUAAAUUAAAUUGUGUGCAUUAAAAGAGGCUAGACCUGUUACAAAAUAUACACAUUUGCAAAACAGUUUAUUUUGCUCAUGAUUCUGGUAGCUGUUGCUUUGUACAGGACAAUUCCAGUGUCCUAACAGGUGAUCCACCAGGCUAUGUCACAGAUCAGUUGUAUUGGUAAAGGGGACCUGGGAGCCUACAGAAGGGGGAACAUAUUUGGAGUGGACUACUUUUCUAACAACUAUCAUCUCAUUAGUCAAAGGACACAGAAGACCCACUCUCCUGUAGGCCACCCCAACACUACCACUAGGCCUAGGUUUCUAGCACAAGAACCUUUGGAAGACAGGUCAAACUAUAGCAGGGACAAAUAUCUUUCAGUGAUAAACUGUUUUAAAUUAAAAAAUGAUAUUUUAAAACCAAAGAGUAAUAAAUUCAUUUUCACUUGGUAUCUUACAAGCUUUCCUAAACUAUUUAAAAAAUAAUCUUGAGAAUUUUAUUUGAAUGUGCAAUGAAAUAUCAUAUCCACCCUCCAUUUUCCCUACCAGCAUCCCAAAUAUCUCCCAAUUUACUCCUCUCCCAAUUUGUAAGCCAUUGUCUGUCUGUCUGUCUUUCUUUCUUUCUUUCUUUCUUUCUUUCUUUCUUUCUUUCCUUUCUUGGUAGUAUCUUAACACUUGGUGAUUCUAGCAUUUCAGAAUUAAAUACAGAAUAAUAAGGAAAAGGGUGUUCUAUGUUAUUUUCUAGUCUAUGAUAAUUUUAUCCUGGAAGAUGCAGUCUUUUUCCUGAUGGUGUUAUUUCCAUCCUUACCCUCAACUUUUCCUCCCUUCUAUCAUCUUUAAACCUGAGAGCCAUGCUUUUGUUGUACCUUUCCACUAAGAGUGUCUAUUAAGGAAGGAAAACUAUUGUAUGCAAUUUUAUUUUUGUUUUUUGUUAUCCUUGUUCAUGUGACAUGCUAAAAGUCAGCUCUAUUGCUAUUGCUUAAAAACCAACAAAGCAAAAAAUAACCAAGCAGUAGGAACUCCUCUGAAAUUCAGCUUUGAUUUUUUUCCUACACUUGGACUCUUGAAAAACCCCACUAUUCUGUCCCCUGAGCCUGGCACUUGCUGAUGUGUAACCUGCUAUAUCAUUAGACUUGUGUAACUGUGUGUUUGUAUUUCUUUGAAUAUAUCUGCAUUUCUAUCCAUGAAAAGCACGUCAUUUCCUUUAGUGACUUUAGAUUUUUGUUACAUAUUCUGUCAGAAGUAUUUUGUCACAUUAGGAACCCAGGUGAGCCCCUGAGUGGGUAAUGACUAAAUGUGAAGGCUUGAGACAUCAAUGUGUACUGCUGAAGAUUUUAUAGAUGCUGAAUAUAAACAUCUUUAAAUUGGUGCAAUAAUAUACCUUUUAAACAAUUAAUGUGGCUUUUAGGAACUUUAUACUUUAUAAACAUUUGAAUUUUUAAAAAGCUUUUGUGUUGUGCUUUUAAUCCCAGCACCCUGGAGGCAGAGGUAGGCAACUUGGUGAGUCUGUGGCCAACUUGGUCCAUGUGAGGAGUUCCAGGCCAACCAGGGAUGCAGUGUGAGACUGUUUCUUAAAAAACCAAACACCAGAAAACCCACUGUAUAUAUUUGUACAAAGACACAUAUAUUUAUCCAAUAUGGUUCUCUUUCAAAACUAAUUUACUUUUUAUCUUUAUACUUUAGUAACUUUUUUGUUAACUAGGACACUAACAUAGCCUAGGGCUGCAGGAUCAAAAUUAUCAAUAUAACUGUUUUCCACCUGUACAUCUUGUCUUCAAGGGAGAUAACACGUAGAGUUUUUUAUCUCAUAUUCUGAGUGUCUGUGACCUGUCUGAGGCUGUUUGGCAGCUAACUUUUUAUUUUUAUUGUUAGGAUAUAACUAAUGUGUAGCUAUUAACAUUUAAAUGAGUGGAAUUUAAUAAAAGUGCUCAAUAGCCACAUUUGGCCAGUGGCUAUUAUAUUGGAUCGAAUCAGUUUUGCUUAUUGUACAAUAUUUUAUCAUAGAAAUUUUAUAGACUUGUUCUAGAAAAAAAUUAAUUGAUUUAUGUCAAUUUAGAUUGGACAAAAAGUCCCUUAUAGAUUAUAUUUCUGCUUACCCUUGAAUUACUCAGUUUUAAAUGCUUUCCUAAGCCAGGUGGUAGUACCACACACCUUUAAUUCCAGUACUCAGGAGAAGAGACAGGCUGAUCUAUUUGAGUUUAAGGCCAGCCGGUCUACAGAGCUAGUCUCUUGACAGCCAGUGCUACACUGAAACCCUGUUAGAAAACAAAAUAAACAAAACACAACAAACAAAAUAUGCUUUUCUAGCCGAGUCCUUAUGUUUUAUUUACAGUCCAGCUGAGAAGUGUCAAUGUUAACAGUUAGUUUAUUGUUUUGUUAUUUUGGUGUCUCAAGAUGGGAUUUCUCUGUGUAGCCCUAGGUGUCCUGGAACUCACUCUAUAGAGUCCAGGGUGACCUUGAACUCAGAGAUCUGCCUGCCUCUGCCUCCUGAGCACUGGGACAAAAAAGGCAUGCAAAGCUACCACCUUGCUGAGUAUUAUAUAAAUGCUAAUGUAAUACUUUCAGAUGAGAAGUAAAUUAUAGAUAUAUUUGAGGUUAGUAUAUUAAGAUAUAAACGCAUGGAUUUUUUGUUUCGAAAAAUAGUAUGGAUAGUAUAGAAAAAUAGUAUGAAUCUGAAAUCAUUUUGUAGCCAUUUUCUUGGUUAAGGGAAUAGGUGCUAGAUUCUUUGAGGAAUACAGGAGUCAUCUUAGGUAUGGAAAACAUGAGGUAAUUAGUAAUCAUUUGUUUAAUCUCCCACAUUCCUCUCUUAAAACAAAUUGUCUUAGAAAAUGUGUAUUUUGAGUAUUUUUGCUGCCACAGAGAUUAAAGUGAAGCAUUUCUAGUAACAGUCUCAAAUGAGGGAAGUGGAACAGGCAUAUUUGUAUCAGCAGGAGUCUCUGAAAUCAUGGAUUCGUUUGGUUUUUACUAAUACUAGUUUGUUGACUUGUAAAAUUAUUUUUAGAAGAUUUUUUAAUUUGCUGGCUAUAAUUUUUUAAUGCUUUUAAAAAGUCUUAUUUCGGGGCUGGAGAGAUGGCUCAAUGUUUAAGAGAUGCCAAGUGGUUGGUUCUUGCAGAGGACCUGGGUUUGGUUCCCAGCACCAACAUGGUGGUUCACAACCAUUUGUAACUCCACUUUUAGGGGAUCCAAAGGCACCAGCCAGCAAUGUGCUGUGCAGACAUAGAUGCAGGCAAAACACACACAAAAUAAAAUGAGUAAAUUAAAAAAAAAACCCUCAUAAACCAGAAGAAUAAAAUCCCUUAUUUCUAAGGAUGAUAGUGAUUGUGUGAAUGUGUGUGAUAACUACUUUGUUUUUGUUUUUUUUAAUAGUUAAUAUGAGAAAAUUGAACCAAUCUCAGUUUUUGUCGCUCUGAUGAGUUUUCCCGUAUUUUAACCUGAGAGACUGACUUUGGAUCCAUAUGAACAUAUGCCGACCUUCAGUGAUUUGUUUGUUUUUAAGAGAGACUGAACCCAGUCCUACAAAUACUGGAAAUAAUCUAAUAGUGAGCUAUUUCACCAUCCCUUCUGAGAACAAUUUUAAGAAGCAAAAUACAUGCUUUUAUUCUGUCCUCAGUAUCCCACAUUGAAAAACUACAUAAUAAAGGGUUAUUACUUUAAGGAAAAUUUAAAGAGGGAUGAUAAAAAUAGGAAUAGAAGAUUAAGCUUUUGUUUUCUUGUAUACUUACCCUGAUGGUGGUGGUGGUCCUCUAUGAGUGUUUGCGUGUGCACACGCGCACGUGUGUACGCAUGCACUUGUGUCUGUGUGUCUGUCUGUGAUAUACUUAUUAUAAGCGUCUCUGUAGGGGCCUCUUUGGCUAAGUGUAGUAGUUGAGCUAAGAAAGAGUACCAGUUUACAGACCAGUUCUUUAUUUGAGUAAAAGCUUUGUGUUUUUAGUUUCUUAGAGUUUCUUAGUUCUUAACUACAACUAAAAUUAAUGAGCUAAUAUGAAUACUAGUAUAGAGAGAUUGUAAUUAGCUAUUAGUAAUACUAGUGUGUAGUAGAGGAAACAUGAUUUUUAAAAUACAAUAUAUAUGGAUAUGUAGAAAAGUCCCUUCUAUAAUGAAGAAAGAUAUAUUUAAAUGAAAACUGUCCAUUCUUUGUAGGUUUUUACUAUAGAUGCACCAGAAAAUAAGCCUGUUGCUUUUGC